rnacentral:rRNA from 1 species
AGUGAACGCUGGCGGUAGGCCUAACACAUGCAAGUCGAACGGCAGCACAGUAAGAGCUUGCUCUUACGGGUGGCGAGUGGCGGACGGGUGAGGAAUAUAUCGGAAUCUACUUUUUCGUGGGGGAUAACGUAGGGAAACUUAAGAUAAUACAGCAUACGACCUACGGGUGAAAGCAGGGGAUCUUCGGACCUUGUGCGAUUGAAUGAGCCGAUGUCGGAUUAGCUAGUUGGCGGGGUAAAGGCCCACCAAGGCGACGAUCCGUAGCUGGUCUGAGAGGAUGAUCAGCCACAUGGGAACUUGAACACGGUCCAUACUCCUACGGGAGGCAGCAGUGGGGAAUAUUGGACAAUGGGCGCAAGCCUGAUCCAGCCAUACCGCGUGGGUGAAGAAGGCCUUCGGGUUGUAAAGCCCUUUUGUUGGUAAAGAAAAGCAGCAGGUUAAUACCCCGCUGUUCUGACGGUACCCAAAGAAUAAGCACCGGCUAACUUCGUG